rnacentral:rRNA from 1 species
CCCUUAGAUGUCCUGGGCCGCACGCGCGUUACACUGAUGCAUUCAACGAGCUUAUAACCUUGGCCGAGAGGCCUGGGCAAUCUUGUUAACGUGCAUCGUGAUAGGGAUAGAUUAUUGAAAUUAUUAAUCUUGAACGAGGAAUUCCUAGUAAACGCAGAUCAUCAAUCUGCAUUGAUUACGUCCCUGCCCUUUGUACACACCGCCCGUCGCACCACCGAUUGGAUGGUCCGGUGAAGCCUCGGGAUUGUGGUUCUUGCCGCUUUAUUGUGGCGUGACCGCGAGAACUUGUCUAAACCUUAUCAUCUAGAGGAAGGUGAAGUCGUAACA